CUAGUAACUGCGAGUGAAGCGGGAAAAGCUCAAAUUUAAAAUCUGGUGGUCUUUGGCCAUCCGAGUUGUAAUUUAGAGAAGCGUCUUCCGCGCUGGACCAUGCACAAGUCUCCUGGAAUGGAGCGUCAUAGAGGGUGAGAAUCCCGUCUUUGGCAUGGACCCCAGGGCUUCUGUGAUGCGCUCUCAAAGAGUCGAGUUGUUUGGGAAUGCAGCUCAAAAUGGGUGGUGAACUCCAUCUAAAGCUAAAUAUUGGCGAGAGACCGAUAGCGAACAAGUACCGUGAGGGAAAGAUGAAAAGCACUUUGGAAAGAGAGUGAAACAGUACGUGAAAUUGUUGAAAGGGAAACGCUUGAAGUCAGUCGCGUCGACCGAGACUCAGCCUUGCCUUGGCUUGGUGUACUUCUCGGCUGACGGGUCAGCAUCAAUUUUGAUCCUUGGAUAAUGGCAAGGGAAAGGUAGCACCUUUACAGGUGUGUUAUAGUCCUCUGUCGCAUGCAAGGGUUGGGAUUGAGGAACUCAGCAUGCACCUCAUCGGUGUCGGGGCCUCGGCCUACGUUACGUGCUUAGGAUGCUGGCAUAAUGGCUUUAAACGACCCGUCUUGAAACACGGACCAAGGAGUCUAACAUGCACGCGAGUGUUCGGGUGGAAAACCCGUGCGCGUAAUGAAAGUAAAAGUUGGGACCUCUGUCGUGGAGGGCACCGACGCCCGGACCAGACCUUCUGUGACGGCUCUGCGGUAGAGCGUGUAUGUUGGGACCCGAAAGAUGGUGAACUAUGC
rnacentral:rRNA from 1 species